rnacentral:lncRNA from 1 species
GGCUGCUGCGUGUCUGGUAGAAGGACUGCCCCUCUCUGUCGUCAUGUCCACAUCCCAUCAACCCCGGGUAGGCACUGCCUACCAGGAUGCCCAAAAGCCCCCUGAAGGGGAGAGUAAGGGGCCUGGAUAUGCAGAUAUUCCUGAGGAGAAAGGAAAGCUCCCUUUACCUGAACUUGGAUGAAGCAAGUUAUUGCUAGUCUGAAGUUUCUUCAGAGUCAGGCAGGAAUAAUAAUAAUUAAAAGACCCAAUCUGAUCCCCAAGUCUUCCAACCACCACUACCACCACUCCACUUAAAUAUUAUUUAAAUAUUAAAUAAUUACGUGUACACACAGGUCAGGCUGUACUAAACUCUUCUAUACAUCUUGAUGUCACGGCUUCUCAGCGGAGAAGGAUGUUAAGCAAGGUUAAUGACACCCGGUGCCAGGCACUGAUGACAUGCAGCUGACAAGGCGAGAUGCCCUCACGUUGCCCACAGUGCAGGGGACUGGUGGGGACAGAAAGAUGUAUGUACCGGAUCCCAUUCAAAGGACCGAUUGAAUGGGAGUCUGCCUGGGUGGCCUCCCAAGGCUUCUUCCAUUCUAUCAUCGGGUAAUUAUUAUUAUUUGUCAAAAACUACCCUGCUUUGUCACAAUUCUCAUUUCAGUUUAGCCAUAAACAUUCAACGUGGAUAGUUCGAUGCGGGAGUUUUCCUCUAUUUCCUGAGGGGUAAUAUUCGGUGUUAAUUACAGUUUCAAAGACCCAGAGUAAAUGAUGCGGGAAGGAGCCUCUGAGAGACCCUUCUCCCCACCUCUGUUGGUAGAUUCUGGCGGGAGCGCGCAGGGCCGGUUCCAUCGGUGGCGGUGCGGCCACGGGGUCCGGCCCUAAUCACGCCCUUGCCAACAGGAUGGCCUCCUUCAGUGCAAUUUCCACUCCAGUGCUGUAUCCAUUUUCUUUCUCCUCUUCAGAGAAACAGCCGGCCCUUCCUACUUCCCCGCCUCCUCCCCAGGCCCCUUCAAUAAUUGAGGCUAAGCCGGAGCCCGGCACCCUUGGGCAGCCCUUGAUUAAGACGCCAUCGAGUGGCCGCCUUCCAUGUCAGCGUCCUGGUCUCCGAGGCUGGUUAAGAUGGAGCCCAACGGCUCUCCUGGAGAAGAGUGACCCACCAUCCCGACCGUGAGAGAGAGGAAUUUUCGCGAAGCGGAAGGCAGAUGCUUCUGAGGAGAGGAUCUGGCGUUCCAAAAGACUUACACCUUAAGCAGAACAUUCUAACUGGGUGACUGUGGACCCAACUAAGUCAAUAACUCAACAGACCGCAUCUUAAGAAAAGGCAGAGAACUUCCUUAAAACAUGGCUUUUCUACAUUCUUUUCAUUCUAGAGACUCAGAGAAGGAAACUGCGUUUCAGAAGCAUUAACUGGAUGGAAAUGGCACAGAUGGAGUUGGGAGCCAGUGCGACUCCAGAGCUGAGCUCCUGUGAGUGUCUGUGAAGCAGGUCACUGAUGUUCCCAGUGAUUGGGACAUACUGAAGCUCACCACAAGCUUAUUGUUGUGAUAAGUCCUUCUGCCACAUGGCAUCCGGAGCUGAGCACCUGGCAGCGCUUCUGUGGGGGGAGAAGAAUUAGCAAGAGGAGGCUGUGGAUCUUCAGGUUUGGAAUCCGAUCCGAGAUGAAAACAAGGAGCAUCAAAAAUGCCCUGGUGUAUCGCUGGCUUUAAAAGAAUGUGCAUUCUUCCCCAUUCCUUCUACGACAUCACGGUAAUGGGUCCAACAUGAUGGCAGAUGUCCAUCCAUAGCCAAGAUAUGGAAACAACCUAAGUGCCCAUGGACAGAGGAGUGGAUAAAGAAGAUGUGGUAUGUAUACACAAUGGAAUAUUACUCAGCCAUUCAAAGGAAAGAAAUAAUGGCAUUUGCAGCAACAUGGACGGAGGGAUCCAUUUAUUUGUCGAUGGACUCUUGGGUUGCUUCUACCUUUUGUCUCUUGGGAAUAAUGCUGCUGUGAAUACGGGAGUACAAAUAUAUCUUCCAGACUCUGCUUUCAGUUCUUGUGGAUAAAUACCCAGAAGUGGAACUGCUGGAUCAAAUGGUAAUUCUAUGUUUAAUUUUUUGAGAAACUGCCAUACUGUUUUUCAUUGUGGCUGUACUGCUACAUUCUCACCAAUUGUGCACAAAGGUUCCAAUUUAUCCACUCCUCACCAAAACUUGUUAUUUUCUUUCUUUAAAAAUAUGUUUUACAGUAGCCAUCAUUUGGGUAUGGGUGGUAUCUUCUUGCAGUUGUUUUUUGUUUUUUUUGUUUUAUGUUUUUUUUUUUUUGCUUUUUAGGGCCACACUUGUGGCAUAUGGAGCGUCCCAGGCUAGGGGUCCGGUCAGAGCUAAAGCUGCUGGUCUACACCACAGCCACAGCAACGCAGGAUCUGAGCCGCAUCUGUGACCUACAUCGCAGCUCAUGGUAAUGCCAGAUCCUUAACCCACUGAGCAAGGCCAGGGAUCGAACUUGCAACUUCAUGGUUCCUAGUCGGAUUCGUUUCCACUGCACCAUGAAGGGCACUCCUCUUGCAGUUUUGAUUUGCAUUCCCUAAUGAUUAGUGAUGUGGAGAAUCUUUUCAUGUGCUUAUUGACCAUUUGUAUAUUUGGUCUAUUUGAAAAUAUCUAUUCAAGUUCUUUGCCCAUUUCCUUCCUUCCUUCCUUCCCUUCUUCCUUCCUUCCCUUCUUUCUUCCUUCCUUCCUUCCCUUCUUUCUUUCUUCCCUUCUUUCUUUCUUUCUUUCUUUCUUUCUUUCUUUCUUUCUUUCUUUCUUUCUUUCUUUCUCUCUCUCUCUUUCUUUCUCUCUCUCUCUCUCUCUCUCUCUCUUUCUUUCUUUUGUCUUUUUAGAGCUGCACCUGCACCACAUGGAAGUUCCCAGGCUACAGGUUGUAUCGGGGCUGUACCUGCCUGCCUACGCCACAGCUCACGACAAUGCUGGAUCCUUAACCCACUGAGUGAGGCCAGGGAUGGAACCCACAUCCUCACGGAUACUAGGCAGGUUCGUUACUGCUGAGCCACAACGGGAACUCCCUCUUUGCCCAUUUUUCAUAAGAUUUUUGUUUUGUUCAGUUGUAGGAGUUCUCCAUAUAUUCUGGAUAUUAAUCAGAUGGAAGAUUUACUUUUUUCUAUUCUGUGGGUUGCCUUUUCAUUCUCUUGAUUGUACCCUUUAAUGCACAGAAAUUUUAAAUCUUGAAAUAGCCCAAUUUGUCUAUUUUUCUUCUGUUGCCUGUGUUUUUGGUGUCAUAGCUAAGAAAUCAUUGCCAAAUCCAAUGUCCUGAACCUCUUCCUCAGUGUUUUCUUCUAAGAAUUUUACGUUUUAGCUCUUAUUGUUUAGGUCUUUGAUCAAUUUUGAGUUAAUGUUUCAAUAUGUGGCUUAGUAAGAGUCUAAAUUCCUUUUUUCCCCCCUUUGGCCACACCUGUGGCAGAUGGAAGUUCCCAGGCCUGGGAUCAGCUCCUUGGUGGAGCUGCCAUUGCCAUCUGGCCUUCGGGGAAGCCUCUAUGUUCCUGCUCCAUUGGUAAGGGAGAAAGGACCAUGGCUAAUUUAAAAUCCAGCUCUGGUUGGCCUCAAGCUUUUCUUUUUAAAAUUUUUUUAUUUUUAAUUUUUUGGGUCUUUUGUCUUUUUAGGGUUAAUACACUGAUAUAAAUUGCAAACGUAGUUAAUUUUUUAACGUUUGAAAAAAAAAAAGAAAAUACCAUACAGAUGAUACACGUAACUCAACUUAGUAUGGCAAAAGACUUUCUGAUUAUAAGUACGACGAAAUAUAUUAAAAGAGAAAUGAUAGAUUUGAUUUUAUAAAUUGUGCGCAAAAACCCUUUAAAAGGAAACAAUAAGUUUAUCAUGGAAUGUUCAUCUUUUUUAAAUUUCUUUUUUCAAAUGAUUUUUAUUUUUUCUAUUAAAGUUGGUUUACAGUGGUCUG